rnacentral:rRNA from 1 species
UCAAAAACAUGUUUUGUCGAUUAGGUUGACAAAUUUGGCCUGCUCGGUGUUCAGUUUUAUAUAAACAGCCGCAGUAACUUGACUGUGCAAAGGUAGCAUAAUCAUUAGCUUCUUAAUUAGAGGCUGGAAUGAAGGGUUUGACGGAUACUUGCUUUUUUCUUUUAUUUUAUGAAUUUUAGCUUGUAGUGAGGACGCUGCAUUGUAGGUAAUUGACGAGAAGACCCCGUAAAGCUUUAUCUUUUUUUUAGUUUAUUAUUUGUAGUUUUUUGUUGGGGCAACAGGCAGGUUAAAUGGCUUUAAUUUUUGUUUUCUUUUUUAUUCUUUUUUUGAUCCACCUAUUUGUUGAUAUUUAGUUAAGCUACUUUGGGGAUAACAGCGUAAUUAUGUCGGAGAGUUCUUAUUGAUGGCUUAGUUUGCGACCUCGAUGUUGAAUUAAGAUACCUUUUUACUGUAGUUGGUUAUGGAGGGGGUCUGUUCGACCUUUAAAUUCUUACAUGAUCUG